GGGGGUGUAGCUCAUAUGGUAGAGCGCUCGAUUCGCAUUCGAGAGGCAAUGGGAUCAAUGCCCAUCUCCUCCA
rnacentral:tRNA from 1 species